rnacentral:rRNA from 1 species
AUUGAACGCUGGCGGCAGGCCUAACACAUGCAAGUCGCGCGAGCGGCGGACGGGUGAGUAAUGUAUGGGGAUCUGCCCGAUAGAGGGGGAUAACUACUGGAAACGGUGGCUAAUACCGCAUACUAUCGGAUGAACCCAUAUGGGAUUAGCUAGUAGGUGGGGUAAAGGCUCACCUAGGCGACGAUCUAUAGCUGGUCUGAGAGGAUGAUGAGCCACACUGGAACUGAAACACGGCCCGUACUCCUACGGGAGGCAGCAGGGGGGAAUAUUGCACAAUGGGCGCAAGCCUGAUGCGGACAGGCAGCGUGUAUGAAGAAGGCCUUAGGGUUGUAAAGUACUUUCAGCGGGGAGGCGUUACCCGCAGAAGAAGCACCGGCUAACUCCGUGCCAGGAGCCGCGGUAAUUC